rnacentral:rRNA from 1 species
GAUGAACGCUGGCGGCGUGCCUAAUACAUGCAAGUCGAGCGAACAGACGAGGAGCUUGCUCCUCUGACGUUAGCGGCGGACGGGUGAGUAACACGUGGAUAACCUACCUAUAAGACUGGGAUAACUUCGGGAAACCGGAGCUAAUACCGGAUAAUAUAUUGAACCGCAUGAUUCAAUAGUGAAAGACGGUUUUGCUGUCACUUAUAGAUGGAUCCGCGCCGCAUUAGCUAGUUGGUAAGGUAACGGCUUACCAAGGCAACGAUGCGUAGCCGACCUGAGAGGGUGAUCGGCCACACUGGAACUGAGACACGGGCCAGACUCCUACGGGAGGCAGCAGUAGGGAAUCUUCCGCAAUGGGCGAAAGCCUGACGGAGCAACGCCGCGUGAGUGAUGAAGGUCUUCGGAUCGUAAAACUCUGUUAUUAGGGAAGAACAAAUGUGUAAGUAACUAUGCACGUCUUGACGGUACCUAAUCAGAAAGCCACGGCUAACUACGUG